AUUGAACGCUGGCGGCAUGCCUUACACAUGCAAGUCGAUCGGCAGCACGGGUGCUUGCACCUGGUGGCGAGUGGCGAACGGGUGAGUAAUAUAUCGGAACGUACCUUAUUGUGGGGGAUAACGCAGCGAAAGCUGUGCUAAUACCGCAUAAUCCCUAAGGGGGAAAGCGGGGGACCGUAAGGCCUCGCGCAAUUAGAGCGGCCGAUACCUGAUUAGCUAGUUGGUGAGGUAAAGGCUCACCAAGGCAACGAUCAGUAGCUGGUCUGAGAGGACGAUCAGCCACACUGGGACUGAGACACGGCCCAGACUCCUACGGGAGGCAGCAGUGGGGAAUUUUGGACAAUGGGGGCAACCCUGAUCCAGCAAUGCCGCGUGAGUGAAGAAGGCCUUCGGGUUGUAAAGCUCUUUUGUCAGGGAAGAAACAGCAGCUCUAAUACAGUGUGCGAAUGACGGUACCUGAAGAAUAAGCACCGGCUAACUACGUGCCAGCCGCCGCAGUAA
rnacentral:rRNA from 1 species